AUAAUUUCUUUUACUAUAAAAUUUUUAGUUAUUUGUUGUUGCUUAAUACCCAUAACUGUUCAAAUAUUGAAUCAAUUUUAAAUAUAGUUUAUUAUUUAGCUAGACACUUCUUGUAAUAGAUUUUUCCAUUUUCAAUAUAAAUAUGCAUAUGUGUGACUCUCUAUGGCUUUUUUCUGUUAGUGAAUGUGUUGUUUAUAUGUGCUAGACACACGUGUGGUUGUUUACAUUAUGGUUCAUCUCGAUCUUUUGCUAUGUUUUUUAAAAAUAUAUCCGUUAGACUUUUUAAGUUAUAGAUUUUUGCACAGAUAGACUUGCAUACACAAUGAUAUGUCUUUCUUUUUCGUCUCUCCUAUUAUUAUUUUUCCCUUUUACAACUUGUUUGUAAAUAUCCGGUUGAACUUUUCCCAAUUACUCUGUUUUUCCUUAUUGACUUUUAUUAAUAACCUUUUUGAUGUUCUUCCUUAAAUUCUUCACACUGAUGAGAAUGACAAUGCAUAACUUUAAUUAUAAUUAUUAUUAUUAUUAUUAUUAUUAUCAUUAUUAUUAUUAUUAUUCUUACAUAUUUGUAUUGU